rnacentral:rRNA from 1 species
GCAGCAACGCCGCGUGGAGGAUGACGCAUUUCGGUGUGUAAACUCCUUUUAUUAGGGAAGAUAAUGACGGUACCUAAUGAAUAAGCACCGGCUAACUCCGUGCCAGCAGCCGCGGUAAUACGGAGGGUGCAAGCGUUACUCAGAAUCACUGGGCGUAAAGGGUGCGUAAGCUGGCUUUUAAGUCAGAUGUGAAAUCCACAUGGCUCAACCAGUUGAACAUGCAUUUGAAACUGAAAGCACUAGAGUUCAGAAGGGGCAGAUGGAAUUAGUGGUGUAGGCGGUAGAAAUCGCGUAGAUAUCACUAGGAAUAUCAGAGAUAGCGAAGGCGAUCCUGCUGGGAUGAUACUGA